GAUGAACGCUAGCUAUAGGCUUAACACAUGCAAGUCGAGGGGUAACGAGAGGAAAGCUUGCUUUCCUUGUCGACGACCGGCGCACGGGUGAGUAACGCGUAUCCAACCUGCCCCCAACUAAGGAAUAACCUUGCGAAAGUAAGACUAAUACCUUAUAAUUUCCUCAGAUGUCAUCUGACGAGGAAUAAAGAUUUAUCGGUUGUGGAUGGGGAUGCGUCUGAUUAGCUUGUUGGCGGGGUAACGGCCCACCAAGGCAACGAUCAGUAGGGGUUCUGAGAGGAAGGGCCCCCACAUUGGAACUGAGACACGGUCCAAAAUCCUACGGGAGGCAGCAGUGAAGAAUAUUGGUCAAUGGGCGAAAGCCUGAACCAGCCAAGUAGCGUGCAGGAUGACGGCCCUAUGGGUUGUAAACUGCUCUUAUACAGGAAUAAAGUUAGCCACGUGUGGUUAUUUGUAGGUACUGUAUGAAUAAGGACCGGCUAAUUCCGUGCCAGCCGCCGCGGUAA
rnacentral:rRNA from 1 species